rnacentral:tmRNA from 1 species
GGGGAUGUUUAUGGAUUCGCCAGGAUUAUAUUGACUAUAUAAGCAUGCGUUGGUGGUGCAACUAAAAACACACGAGGUUUUCAAAAUAACCGGAAACAAUAAUUUUGCUUUUGCAGCCUAAGAAUAGGCAGCAGCUUUAUGUUAAACUUUCUUACAGUUUAUCUUAAAGUACAGUAAGUAAGAUAUAUCUAUAUUCUGCAGUCAUAAGAAUAUAGACGAAUUAACAGGACUCGUCAUUUGAUAAUGUGUUCUUCCAUAAUCACUUGAUUAAAUAAAAUUGAAGAACUAAGCAUGUAGAAAGUGUAGAGCAGUUUAGUUUUGUACACGGGUUCAAAUCCCGUCAUCUCCACCA